GAUGAACGCUAGCGGCAGGCUUAAUACAUGCAAGUCGAACGGGAUUCAGAUUAGCAAUAAUUUGAUGAGAGUGGCGCACGGGUGCGUAACACGUAUGCAACCUACCUUUAACUGGUGAAUAGCCCCGGGAAAUCGGGAUUAAUACACCAUAACAUUACUAAAAGGCAUCUUUUGGCAAUUAAAGAACUUCGGUUAGAGAUGGGCAUGCGGGACAUUAGCUAGUUGGUGAGGUAACGGCUCACCAAGGCGACGAUGUCUAGGGGUCCUGAGAGGGUUAUCCCCCACAAUGGUACUGAGACACGGACCAGACUCCUACGGGAGGCAGCAGUAAGGAAUAUUGGUCAAUGGGCGCAAGCCUGAACCAGCCAUGCCGCGUGCAGGAAGACGGCCCUAUGGGUUGUAAACUGCUUUUGUCAGGGAAUAAAUGUAGGUACGUGUACUUACUUGAAGGUACCUGAAGAAUAAGCAUCGGCUAACUCCGUGCCAGCCGCCGCAGUAACAC
rnacentral:rRNA from 1 species